rnacentral:rRNA from 1 species
CAGUCGCCGCGGGAAUACGGAGGAUCCAAGCGUUAUCCGGAUUUAUUGGGUUUAAAGGGUGCGUAGGCGGCCUAUUAAGUCAGGGGUGAAAGACGGUAGCUCAACUAUCGCAGUGCCUUUGAUACUGAUAGGCUUGAAUGUACUUGAAGUGGGCGGAAUGUGACAAGUAGCGGUGAAAUGCAUAGAUAUGUCACAGAACACCGAUUGCGAAGGCAGCUCACUAAAGUAUGAUUGACGCUGAGGCACGAAAGCGUGGGGAUCAAACAGGAUUAGAUACCCGUGUAGUCCCUGUCUCUUAUAC